ACACGUAGGGGGCGAGCGUUGUUCGGAAUCAUUGGGCGUAAAGGGCGUGCAGGCGGUCCUGCAAGUCCGGCGUGAAAGACCCCGGCCCAACCGGGGGGACGCGCUGGAAACUGCGGGGCUUGAGUACAGGAGGGGAUGCCGGAAUUCCAGGUGUAGGGGUGAAAUCUGUAGAUAUCUGGAAGAACACCAAUGGCGAAGGCAGGCAUCUGGCCAUGUACUGACGCUGAGACGCGAAGGUGCGGGGAGCAAACAGGUUUAGAUACCCUGGUAGUCCGCACAGUAAACGAUGUGCACCAGGUGGCGGGGGGUCGACCCCCGGUACCGUAGCUAACGCAUUAAGUGCACCGCCUGGGGAGUAUGCUCGCAAGGGUGAAACUCAAAUGAAUUGGCGGGG
rnacentral:rRNA from 1 species